UUUUAAUCUCAGCACUUGGGAGGCAGAGUUCAGCUUACAGAUGCUGACUGUGGAAGUGUAUUUCAGGCUCGUGGUAGCUGGGAGUCCUCUCAGCAGCCUUCAGGUACCCUGGUGUAUGGUACCACCUUGUUUCAUCAAUGAGACAUUGUAAGCAGUGAGUCCACUGGGAAGGAAAACAACCAGUCCUGGUGUUUUGCCUUCAGGGAAAGCCUUGCUUUUAAGGCAAGUUAAUGUUUACCUGAAGAAUAGGUGACAACUUCCAGAAAGGACUUGGCAUAAUGAACUAUAAUCCAGAAAUAGAGGGCACACCCGUGAUCCAGAUUUUGAGGCCAGAAGACAACAUUCCUUUGAACUGGAUCUUCAGGCUGGAAGACACAACACCUUAAAUCCCCACCUCGAGGCUGGAAGGCACACCUUUAAUCUGGGCCACACCUUCUGCUGAAAUCCUGUAUAAGGACAGUGGAAGAAGGGUUUGUUCUUUUUUCCCUGCUUGCCUUUGCCUUGUCAUUCAGAAGACCAGCUGGGACACCCAGCCUCGUGGGACCAAGCAGCUACUAGAUUCUUGGACUUCCCUUCACAACUAGCCAUUGUUGGACUGCAGCCUGGUAUGCUGGACCUGCAACUCCUUUGCCUGCUACAUGAUGACUGCUCAGUCUCCACAGAGAAGAGAGUGAUUUCCUCUUUGUCCCUGCUUAUAUACUGAUUAUGCCCAGAUAUGCCACUUCCUGUUUAUCAGUACAGACCUCCUGACUUCUAUGAUUAGCUAGUGGCAAGUUUCUGCCCAGCUAUGUCACUUCCUAUCUGGCUAAUUAGCCAACCAGUGUUUUAUUCAUUAACCAAUAAGAGAAACAUAUACAGAGAAGAAUGUUAC
ensembl:lncRNA